rnacentral:rRNA from 2 species
CGGCGAGUGAAGCGGCAAUAGCUCAAAUUUGAAAGCUGGCCCCUUUGGGGUCCGCGUUGUAAUUUGUAGAGGAUGAUUCGGCGAGGGCUCCCGUCUAAGUCCCCUGGAACGGGGCGUCAUAGAGGGUGAGAAUCCCGUAUGUGAUGGGUUGCCUUAGCCAUGUGAAUCUCCUUCGACGAGUCGAGUUGUUUGGGAAUGCAGCUCUAAAUGGGAGGUAAAUUUCUUCUAAAGCUAAAUACCGGCCAGAGACCGAUAGCGCACAAGUAGAGUGAUCGAAAGAUGAAAAGCACUUUGGAAAGAGAGUUAAAAAGUACGUGAAAUUGUUGAAAGGGAAGCGCUUGCAGCCAGACUUGUCCGCAGUUGCUCAGCCGGUCUCCUGACCGGCGUACUCUUCUGCGGCCAGGCCAGCAUCAGUUCGGGCGGUCGGAUAAAGACCUCGGGAAUGUAGCUCCUCUCGGGGAGUGUUAUAGCCCGGGGUGGAAUGCGGCCAGCCUGGACUGAGGAUCUCGCUUCGGCUAGGAUGCUGGCGUAAUGGCUGUAAGCGGCCCGUCUUGAAACACGGACCAAGGAGUCUAACAUCUAUGCGAGUGUUUGGGUGUCAAACCCAUACGCGUAAUGAAAGUGAACGGAGGUGGGAACCCUCACGGGUGCACCAUCGACCGAUCCUGAUGUCUUCGGAUGGAUUUGAGUAUGAGCAUAGCUGUUGGGACCCGAAAGAUGGUGAACUAUGCCUGAAUAGGGUGAAGCCAGAGGAAACUCUGGUGGAGGCUCGCAGCGGUUCUGACGUGCAAAUCGAUCGUCAAAUUUGGGUAUAGGGGCGAAAGACUAAUCGAACCAUC